rnacentral:rRNA from 1 species
AAGGCCCGCAAGGGUCGCCAGAGGACGGGUCCGCGUCCCAUCAGCUAGUUGGUGAGGUAAUGGCUCACCAAGGCGAAGACGGGUAGCUGGUCUGAGAGGAUGAUCAGCCACACUGGAACUGAGACACGGUCCAGACUCCUACGGGAGGCAGCAGUGGGGAAUAUUGCGCAAUGGGCGAAAGCCUGACGCAGCCACGCCGCGUGAGCGAUGAAGGUCUUCGGAUCGUAAAGCUCUGUGGGGGGAGAAGAAGAAAGUCGGUGAAGAGCCGGCCCUGACGGUAUCCCCUUAGCAAGCACCGGCUAACUCCGUGCCAGCAGCCGCGGUAAUACGGAGGGUGCAAACGUUGCUCGGAAUCAUUGGGCGUAAAGCGCGCGUAGGCGGCUGAACAAGUUGGAUGUGAAAGCCCUGGGCUCAACCUAGGAUGUGCAUUCAAAACUGUUCGGCUUGAGUCUCGGAGGGGGUCAGAGAAUUCUCGGUGUAGAGGUGAAAUUCGUAGAUAUCGGGAGG